rnacentral:rRNA from 1 species
AGCGCAAGCGGAAAAAUAAGUCUAAUGUGAAAGCCCUCGGCUUAACCGAGGAACUGCAUCGGAAACUGUUUUUCUUGAGUGCAGAAGAGGAGAGUGGAACUCCAUGUGUAGCGGUGGAAUGCGUAGAUAUAUGGAAGAACACCAGUGGCGAAGGCGGCUCUCUGGUCUGCAACUGACGCUGAGGCUCGAAAGCAUGGGUAGCAACA